rnacentral:lncRNA from 1 species
UCAUACUUAUGCACUAGAUUAUAUGAUUCAAGUAUAAAGUAUAUAAAUACAUACAUACACACAUAUACUUAUCAUAUCAAGUGUCUCACACUUCAAGACUUAACAUUUACUUAGUAAGAAUAUAAAAUACUCUUUUAGGUACACGCCAACAAAACAACAAGAAACUUCACCAAUGUUGUUGAGUUUGGGAUUUCAGUUGGAUGCUGAUAUCAAUAGGGUAAUCACGAUCAAACUUAACCUACGCACAGAAAACAAACCAAACACUGAGUAUGAACUCAAUGGUGUUUCUAUAAUCCAAGCAUUAUAACACAAAAUAAGUCAUAUAAAUGCAUGAUUUAUUGAUCAACCAUAUGCAAGAUCUAAGUACAUAUAACCAUUUUAUCAAGUUUAAUGAUCCAACUAUAUUCAUUCCAUUAACAUGAGAAUAAAACCCAAUUCAUACCACAUUUCCAUACCAAAUCUAGAUUAUACAAAUCUGAUGAUUCUAUCAAACAUCUUUUAACCCAAUUUAGGUUUCAAUAUAUCAUUUCACAUUAUAACUCCCAAUUAACAUGACUUGCACUUGAACAGAUACACGGAUCCAACCAAUCAUCCCAGUCUGGCACCUAAUGCCUUAUCAAACAAAUUCGAAGAAUAAGUUGUGCCCUGCACUCAUCAGUAUAACCAAAGUGAUUUAGCAUCCAGUGCCUCAUUGACACGUAGUCGAAGUAACCCUGAAAUCUUCCUAUCCUAUGACAUGCCAUCUAUAUCCGACUCUGCUCGGACAAUUAAUAGGGUACAAUUUCUCAAUUUCACUUAUUCAUCAAUUUCAUAAUUUAAUUCCAUUAUUUCCUCAAUCCACCAUAAUUUCAUACCAGUACCAACAUAAUUGAUUUCCAUUACAUAAUCAAUUUUACAUUUAUAACAAUACAUAAUAUUUUCAAAACCAUUUGGUUUAGUCCUUAUCACAAAUAAUCAAUCUUAAUUGAUCAACUCAGCUCGUUUAAUCAAUUCUAACUCACCUUGUAAUCUUACCAUGCAAAGCAGUUCAUAAAUGCAAUAAUUGAAGUAAUUUGAAUUAUAGAAACACAAAUUGUAACACCCUGACCCAUGUCCGUCGCCGAAUUAGAGUUACGAGGCAUUAUCAAUCAAAACCCGACUCAAAAAUUAUUAUUUUUUAACUCAACCACGAAAUUUCAUUCCAUAUAUAUAUUAUCACAUAACCAAUUAAAAUCAAACAUGCAUCUUUAAUCAAGUUUCAUAUACUAACUAGACCUGUCCAUGGGCCGGGUGGCCCGGCCCGACGGUCCGCCCAAAAUAUAGGAGGGUUCGGGUAAAAAUAUAGGCUCGAAAUAUGCGUUUGGGCAAAAAAACGAGGCCCGUUUAAAAAAUGGGCCAGGCCUCAGGCACCACUUUUUUGGCCCGGGCCCGGCCCGAAUAUAAUAAAUAUAUAUUUUUUAUUUUUAUUUUUUAAUUUUAAAAUACUUUUAAAAUAUUUUUUUAUUUUUAAAAUAAUUUUUUAAUGUUUAUUAAAAAAUGGGCCGGGCCAGGCCGGGCCGAGCUCGGGCUUAUGAUAUUUUUCCCGGGCCGGGCCUGGGCAAAAUUUUAGGCCCAUAUUUCGGGCCGAGCCAGGCCCGGGCCUAGAAGGCGGGCCGAAAACUUUUUUCGGGCCCGACCCGGCCCAUGGACAGGUCUAAUACUAACCAUGUUUCAACAAUUCAUCCAUAUCAUUAUCAUUUACCUAAUCAAAAUUUAAUAUCAUAAAUCAAACAUUUAUCCAAGCAUUUAUUUCAUUUCAAUUUACUAACUAUACUACAUAUUACAAACAUAGGUAAUCUACCCUGUUUGGCCAGCUCUUAUACAUCAGAAAUUGAGCAGCAUAUAUAUAUAUAUACAAAAUUGGACAGCAUUUAUUCACCAAAUUUGGGCAGUAUAUAUAUACCAAUUUGGAUAGCACUUAUACACAAAAUUUGACAGCAUGUAUAUACAAAAUUGGACAGCAUUUAUUCACCAAAAUUAGGCAGCAUAUAUAUACCGAUUUGGACAGCACUUAUACACAAAAUUUGACAGCAUGUAUAUACAAAAUUGGACAGCAUUUAUUCACCAAAAUUGGGCAGCAUACAUAUACCAAUUUGGACAACACUUAUACACAAAAUUUGACAGCAUGUAUACACAAAAUUGGACAGCAUUUAUUCACCAAAAUUGGGCAGCAUACAUAUACCAAUUUGGACAGCACUUAUACAUAAAAUUUGACAGCAUGUAUAUACAAAAUUGGACAGCAUUUAUUCACCAAAAUUGGGCAGCAUACAUAUACCAAUUUGGACAGCACUUAUACACAAAAUUUGACAGCAUGUAUAUACAAAAUUGGACAACAUUUAUUCACCAAAAUUGGGCAGCAUACAUAUAUCAAUUUUAGACCGUUAAAACAUAUGCAUUAAUACCGAAUUCAAACCAAAAGAGAUAAGCCAUUUUCGCAUGGCUUUUAGAUACAUAUACACAUUGGUUCCAAAAUCAAUAUUUUAACUAUACUAUACAUGCUAUAUAUUUGAGAACGAUUUAGCAAAAUACCAAAAGAAAAUAUCGAUAGUGUGACGAGCUUAGCUGACGAUCCCCGAACACGUAGCGAUCACCAAAAUCUAUACAUCAAAACAAUUAUCAACACAUUGUAAGCUAAUUUAGCUUAGUAAGUUAUAAGCAAAUAAACCCUACUAUUUAAACCGAUAUCUCAAAUAAUAUUCAACCAAUUCAUAUUACUAAAUCAUCUUACCUUUAGCCUACCAUAUCAUAAGAUAAUUAUUCACUUAUUACUAUGAUUUAACUAAAAUCAAUAUAAUUACACGACCAUAAACAUUUCUUCAAAUUUAAUCACAAGACCAAAUACAUUAUGCAUUUCCUCAUCAUGUAAUAUAAAGAGUCAUAUUAUAUAUAUAUGAUUCCAAAUAUAAUCACCACAUAGGUUUAAUACCUACAAAGCUUAACCUUAAAAUACAACCAUAAUGGUUAUUACUCAAGAAUUCCAAGUAUUUACUCAUUUUAAUAAUCAUGAUUUCUCAAUAAGACAAAUACUCAAUACUAAUAGUUAUUUGAAAAUAUUUAAUAAGUUCGUACACUUAGUGCUCAAUAAUCAAACUCACACACUUAGUGAUUUACCAUUAAACUCGCACACUUAGUGCUUUACAAUUAAACUCGCACACUUAGUGCUUUACAAUUAAAUUCGCACACUUAAUGUCGAAAGUCAACAACUCAAUACAUCUUAUUUCAAUAAUUUUAUCACUACAUGCAUAUAUAUAUAUCAUUCAAUUCAGCAUAAUUACUCAGAUACUAAGCUGAUUUUAAAACGAUACAAUUAUAUAUGUGCUUAAUAACUUGCCUCGGAUGUCGUCGACUAAUAGAUCGGCUACUCAACUACUUUCGAUUUCCCCCGAUCUAAAUUCGAUUUCUUGGUUUCUUGAUCUAAACAUAUUCAACUAAAUCUCAUUUAAACAUAUUUUCAUUCAAUUUAGUCUAAGAACACAUAAAUGGGAAAAUUACAUUUUUACCCCUAAUAUUUCACAUUUUCACAAUUUAGUCCUUAUUGCACAAAACACAAAAUACACAAAAUUUGGCCAUACUCCCUAAGGGAAGAAUCUUCCUAGUACCCAUAUAAGUCCAUACAUUUCAUUUAUUUCACAUUUUAGUCCUUCAAAAAUUUAAUUUUUUGUAAUUUAGCCCUAAUUACUCAAAAUCACCAAAAACUCCAAUACAAAACAUAUUAAUCUUUAACAUAUCUUUCAUUUUUCAUCAACAACUAUCAAAAAGCUCAAGCACUCAUCAAUGGCAAAACACAAAAUCAUCAUCAAUUCACAAAAUUAAUACAUGGGUUUUGAAGUAUUUAAAGCAACAAUCACAAAAACGUAAAAAUUAUCAAAAACUAAAAUCAAACUAACCUUGAAUUGAAAUCCGUAAGAUGGCCGAAUGCUAAAGCUUGAAGAACAAAGUUUCUUUCUCUUGUUUUCGGUGGAAAAAGGUGAAGAAAAUGACUUUAUUUUAUAAUAUUU